AGUUGCUUGUGUCGAGGGAGGGAGGGAGGGAACAGAGGGUGCGCGUGUGAAAGCUCCGCCCCCAGCCCUAGCUCCUCCUUCCCGCUUCAGCAGGUCCAGGCUCUGCGCCAGUGCAUCCUUCUCCAAGAGUGCGCUGCCUGGGCCCGCUUGCCCUGGAGUUAACUUCAGCAGUCAACGGAGAGAAGAGUGGAAACCUUACUGGAUGCGGACAGGAGAGCCAGUUACUGAAAGCAGAUAUAACGCGGAUCCUGUAAAGAGUGGUGUGUAUCCAAAAAAAAAAAAUCUGUACAAUGUAUUUUAAAACUUGUGUGCACAAAACUGAAGAUUUUCUUUUUUACCUAGUCCAAAUGCCGUCCUAGCCUGAGUCCUGCUCUUUAUAAAAAUAAAAUAAAAAGAAUUUGAAGCUUGUGAAAGUAUUAAGUGUAGACAUUCAAGUUUAUUUGAAACCCUACCAAAAAAAAAAAAAAACAACCUUAAAAACCAGUGUAACAGGAAGGCGGGAGCCUGCUAAAACGAUUAGGCCUAAGACAGGGUUAACCCCAACUCCAUUAAGGAGAAGGGGGAAAAGAAAAAAAGAAAGAUGAAGGGAGGCAGGCAGAUGGAGAAAGCAAACAGGAGGCAGAAGUUGAACUCUACCAGAUGGAAAUAAAUAUCCCGACCUUAGUUGAUCAUCAAUAUUGCAAAACACACCACUUUGAGUGUUUUUUUUUUCUUUUUAAUACUGAGCUAAAGGAUAUAGAAAUGAAGCAAAAAUAAUGACAUUAUAAAACAGGAGAAAACGUUUUAUUGUUUAAAAAAUAUGUAAAACUCGAUUUGAAAAAAUAACUUCUAGAUUAUUUUUUCAUUAGUACACAUAACUAAGUAGUUACAUGUGAAAAAAUUAAAGAGUGGUUUUUUUUUUUCUUAUAGAACUUUUCAGAUAGAACUCUGCUUAAAAAUAGUAAUUUCACUGGAGGCAUGAAACCUCUUUUACUACUCAAAAAGAAGAUCGAGAAGCAAAAGUAAAUUCAUGAAAUUACCAUAACACUAGAAUAACAACUCCUGGUCUCCCACCUAACCUGACCCACCCUUAGUUCCCUGCUUUCACUUACAUUGUCGUUAAUGUGUCACUGAGUACAAAUUAGGAGUCAAGUGAAAGUUUUUCUCUUCUAAACCUGGUCUCCAACUUGGCCUCUCGGUCAUGUGCUUAAAUUGUCUCAUCUAAAAAACAGAAAUAUUAAAUCAACAAAAUGCUAGGAUUGGACUCAGACUUCCCCCAAGCCCUUGUUCUCCAUACUAUUUUUAACUGCCUGCACUAGCAGCAGCAGGACCCCUUCUGAAAGCCUUAUAAAACCAGUUGAACAGGGUUAACAGAAAGUUUAACCCAUAGACUCAGGGAGAGUUACUUCCCGCACUGAGUUUUUCAAAUUAUAUAUGUGUGUUUCCCACCUUAAAUCAUCCCAUUAGGAGACAAACUGAUUUGAGAAACUACAGUAAUUUUUAACUUGGGAAUCUACAGAGUACUCAGAAAAAAACUGGAAAUAAACAUUAGUCUUAAACGUAAGCCUUAGAUGGUACAUAAUGUUCAUUGCUAAUAGUUUUCAAUUCCUGACAUAUAUAUGUUUAGUCACAUUUUCUGGAAGUUUAGUCAGGCCCUUCCCAUCUGGGAAACAAGCAGGUAUUUCUGGACAGCUUUUGAAUU
rnacentral:lncRNA from 1 species